CCUACGGGGUGCAGCAGUGAGGAAUAUUGGUCACUGGACGAGCGUCUGAACCAGCCAAGUAGCGUGAAGGAUGACUGCCCUCUGGGUUGUAAACUUCUUUUAUAUGGGAAUAAAAUGUUCCCCGUGUGGGAUUUUGUAUGUACCAUCUGAAUACGGCUCGGCUAACUCCGUGCCGGCAGCCGCGGUCAUACGGAGAAUCCGAGCGUUAUCCGGAUUUAUUGGGUUUAAGGGGAUCGUAGGUGGAUUGUUAAGUCAGUUGUGAAAGUUUGCGGCUCAACCGUAAAAUUGCAGUUGAAACUGGCAGUCUUGAGUACAGUAGAGGUGUGCGGAAUUCGUGGUGUAGCGGUGAAAGGCUUAGAUAUCACGAAGAAUUCCGAUUGCGAAGGCAGUUCACUGGACUGCAACUGACACUGAGGCUAGAAAGUGUGGGUAUCAAACAGGAUUAGAUACCCGGGUAGUC
rnacentral:rRNA from 1 species